ensembl:lncRNA
AUCAGGGCUUGCACAAAUUGUAAGUAUAGUAUUUCACAAACCCUGGGUUGGAACAUUUACAGGAGGGAGGAGGAAAGUCUCCUGCAUUUGUUUCUUCCUGCAGUCAAAUGUAGAAUGGUCACAACCCAGAAAAGACCCUGAUCUGAACAACCAAAGGAUUCAGGAUCUUACCCAGUCUGACCAGAAGGCUUACUCCCAUUUACCUGAAAAUGAAACCAGGACUAUAACUGCAUCACCAUGGAUACAGGAUUUCAGGGGUCACAGAAUCAGAUCAAACCACCAUAUGAUGAAAGCAGAAAAAUCCCUGAUUAAAAAACUCUGUAAACAGUUGGAAAAGCCCAGCAACAGCAAAUUCUGUGGAGUAGAAACCAAAGCAAGAGAUUCUAUCUUCAUUGCCAUCUUGACCCAUAAGUGGCGCUGCUGGCCAGCAGCAUUGCUGCUCUGAAUCCCAUCCCACAGGUGGCUGUUUUCCAGAGAGCAGAAAAAGGGCAGAGCAGGUCUUUCCCACAGUUGGCUGGAAGUGCACACCACACCAAAAUCACAACUGUUUCAUGAGAAGCUUCAUGAUAACUCCCAUCAAGCUUUGAUACAGUUUGAAUAAGCACAGUGACUUCAGUACUUCUGCAACCAAGACACUUUACUUUCUGUCUAAUUCAUGCUGAACAGAGAUAUGAGAAAUCUCUUCCACCCAACAUGGGCAGUUAUGUCCAUGAAUUCAGACAUUAACAGGGCUGGCUUGGAGCUGGUGAGUUAGAAGCAGAUGGGCAAUGGCUGGCUCCAUCCCCUCUGCCAUGCAAAGUGAAUGAGCUGGCAAGAGACAGAUGAUGAGCAACAAAUGACUCUUCUGUAACUCCUGGGAACAAGGUUAAUGCAAGAAGGAACCUUCUGUGCAGCCCUACUUACACACUGUUAGUUCCUCUGAGCUGUACACAAUUACAGUCUACUUACAUCAGCAAAAGGGAAAGAGGGAAACAGACAUUAUACAGGAGAUGGGAAAUAGCAAAAACCUUUUGAUGCUCUGAGGACGGCGACAGCAGAGCACAGCACUGUUGCAAGAAGAUGACAAAAACAGACUUCAAAAACUCCAACUCUAAUUCUUACAAAGGUACAAAAACAAAGAAAAGGAGACAAAGCUCUUAUUAAAGAGAUGGUAGCAAACAAUUAUUCUAGGAACCCUGGCACCUUUAAACACACCCACACGAAUGCUUAAUUUCUGUAAAUUUCAGAGCUUGGAAAAAAAGAUGAAGUGAAAGAACAGAAAUGUUUCCCUUCUUAAAAAGACCAGAGAGAGAACAGGGUAACUCUAGCUCUGGCACCCUGACUUCAGUUCCAGGUAAAAUAUUAGCAAAGCCUGAGAGGAGCAGCUGUUUUCAGAUGGAUAGGGCAGACAAAUCUACCGGUUUCAAGCCAAGAGGGAUUUGUGAAUCAGACAAUGCCAAAGAAACCGAUCGGCUUUUUUAAUAUGGUAUCUGAGUAGGUGUUGUUGUUUGUUUUGGUUUGUUUUGUUUUUAAAGGCCUGUGCUAUUUGGAAACAGCUAAAUAAUGCCUGGACAAGAAUUCAAUAAAGUGAGUACCAAGUACCA